rnacentral:lncRNA from 1 species
AUGAAAAAGGGAGGAGGGCUUUAUCUCAAGGAGGCCAGCGGCUCCAAGUGCCAACAUGUCAUAUCUGCAGGUGUUGUUAACAACAACAGCGCCGCCCAGAUGAGCAGUCGGUCUAAUGUUUCUCUGGUCAGUGACCACCAUAGUGUCUGCGUCGUCUCUGCACCUGAAGACCUUCACUCUGCAGUGGGAACACCACCAACCAAAGGGGAGGUUGAUGGCAUCACUGAUUCUACACCACCACAGUCGGCAUCAGAGACCUUGCGCCCUGCAGUAGGUGCUUCACCUAUCAAAGGGGGGGUUGAAGGUCGCCCUGUACCAUUACAGGCUGACUCUGAUCUUUCCGGCUGCACCUACAUGCCGACCGAGGGUCCUCCAGAGUGCACCCCAGCGCAGAGCCCUCAAAAGGCUGCUCCUGCACCAGUCUACAAUCUGAACAACACCGGAUCAGUAUGUGUUGAUUUAACAAGUUAAUCUCUCAGUACUCAUACACGUUAUAAGAUUAUUGUUAAUGUUUAACAUUCACUUGACAUAAGUGUUUAAAACAUUCUCAUUCACACAAAGAGUUAGCCAUCUCUGUAUCUGAAGGAAGAAGUGACUUCUGAGGUAUGUGGUAAUGCCCUCAAAUGAGUCAAAUUCUGAUUUGACUCAUUUAUCAACAAUGUGAUAAAACAGAAUUGUUUCCGGAAUUAUUUCAGUUUCCAGCUGAUUUCUGAUUCGGCCAAAUCUGUGGAAAAAGCAUUUUGAAACCAUCCUAUCUUUUGACCUCAGGUCAACACGGCUCUUUGAAGAGCCAACAAACAGCCUUAGAUGCAAACAAGCAUUCCAGCUUCCUGUCAUGACCUGGAGAUCUCUCAAGACUAGACGGGUCCUAUCGGAGCUGAUCUGUGAGUUCCUGGAACCUAGAGGUCCAUGCCAUCGGCAGUGUCCAUCCAGACCUAGGUACCCCUGGAUCUGAAUGGAGAUCUCCACAAAAGGAGACUCAACAGAUUGUGUCGGAUGGUUUUAUAAACAAAUCUCUAGUUUACCAAACAUACCGCCAAAUUUCUUUUACGACCCGGACUCUACAAACUCUCUCUGAUGCUUUAGAAAGGUUCUGCUAAAACAUCUAGCUUCCGUUCCAAAUCACUUACAUUACAUCACCAUUCAUAUCUUGUCAUGUAUAAUUAUUAGUUUAGGGAUAUAGAAAUAAAUAAUUUUUUAUAAACUACACUUGACUCUGUCUGAAUUAAUAUGGUGUGUUUAUGGUCCCUGAGUAAGUAAAGUACGUAUAAUCUUCUGAUUAAACAUUCAAAGAUUUAAAGGUGGGUCCAUUUGAGAAUAUCGCAACAAUUAUUUCUUAUUUAUCCUUUGUGUUAAUGUUUACAUUUGUUUGAUCAGAAAGAACACUUAAUGUGGUCUGAUAUGUUCUGAACUCUCCACAGAAGAAUAACAGGGAAUUUAGGAGGAAAUUACAGGGUAGGAACUUUUCUUUCCAACCGAGUUUUACGUGGGACUCUAAAAGUGACGGACCCCCCUUCGCGCUCAGCUGUAUUCUGGAAAAGAAAGCUACAAGCCCUGUUUCCUCAUUGCUCCGUUUCUCCUGUUUAUUCAGGUUGGUAAAAGUAUUUAAAAGUGUCAUUUGUCAGGGGGUGUUUCUUCUCAGUGUCAAAGCGCCUGGCCUCGCUCAUCGCCUCGCGAGGCCAGGCGCUUUGCUUACGAGGACACGGUCCUUUCUUGGUAAAAAAAAUGGUUACAUGGAACAGACUUGCCUCACGUGACCGCGGCUUCCACGGCGGUCACGUAACAUCAUGUGACACGGGAGAUAACGUUAUAUUUUAUACGUAUUAGUUUCAAUAUAAAUAUAUAGCGAGCCUUUUACUUUAGAAAUUGUGUUUGUUUAUUAAAUUAAAUAUAUAAGCGAGUUACUAAUUACUUAAAUUAGUUGACUUACUUUUAAAUUUGAAAAUUUCCCCCUGAAGAAGCUGCCGGCUCCUGAUCAGCCGUCCUUUUGAAAAUGCCGCGGUGUAUUGUGGGUAAUUUUUGACCAAGGCUAGGCUACAAGACACCUCCUGUGUGUCCUUGCUAAGCUAGCUAAACGGCUAACAAACGGAGAACACACGCCUCGGUAGAACAUGAACAUUGGAACACGUCUUGGCGGCUCCCGAUGACGUAUCACCUAGGCAACCGGGGCGGGGCCAAGACAUCAAGGCAAGGUUCCUUGGCAUUGAGAAACACCCAGGUAGUUCGAGCAAGCUAAAACAGUGUGGUGCUCAAUUUUAGCUUUGAGAUUGUUCUGGUUUGUAUUUUGACUAGUUUGUCUAUGAAGUGAAUGUGCAGUUUAGCCAAAUAUGAGAAAACGAGAAAGGAAAGUGUAUUUGAUAAGAAACUGAACCUGUGAAAAGGGAACGUUGCCCUGAGGAUAUGGAAACGAAACGAUGAAGCUAAGAAGGAAGCUGAGAUCAAAUGAGAUGUCUUGCUGCUGUUUGUAAAUAAUUUUGGUGGUAAAUAAAUCCACAGAUGCAGUGGUUUUCUGAAAAGGAAAUCUACGAGUCCUGUUUCCUCAUUGCUCCUUUUCUUCUGUUUAUUCGGGUCUGGUCCACAUCUGGAACAACAUCUGGACCAACAGUAAUUGUGAUUGUGGCUCUGAGCUCUCUGGGGCCUGUAACACCAGCAUUUGGAGCCAUCCUCUUUUGACCAAGCAACACUUGCUAGUGAUAUCAGACACUGCAACACCUCAGACGUGGAAAUGUACAACCAUCAUCUCAUUCAUACUUUGUCAUGUAUAAUCACUAGUCUAGGAGAAUAGAAUUAAAUUCAUUUGUAAUGAAUCAAAAGGGCCAAUUUUCACCAUGGAAUUGACACGGUAAGCUUUCAUACACGCCAGAGCUGCCAAGUCAAGGUUACGCCAGCUGGAAGAUCCAGAUGCACAAACCAGCCUUUUGCUCACUUACUGUUCCUCAACACAGACAUAAAUAAACUGCCAAGGUCUCCCACAAAAGCCCUUUCCUCCCUGGAUUCCUCACUCUGAAUAAAAAGUGAACUUUUACAACUCAUAAGUUAGAUAAUCAGAUGUGAUGAAUGAACAAGACGUCUAAAUCAAAUGUUUGAAUAAUCUGUGCUUAAAUUCAUGAAGUUUAAAUGAAUGUUGCUCUUACAGUGAUCCAUUUAUAUCACAAAUCAGUAUGUGUUUGAUUUAACACGCUCAUUAUUAGCUACACUCACACACGUCGUCAUAAGUUACAAGUUAAGGUUAAGGUUCACCUCACAUAACGUUUAAAGAUUCUUUAUUCACAGAAUUAAGAGUCCUGUCUCUGAGGAGGGCGUGGCUUUCUGAGGGAUGUUGGUAAAUACUCAGAAACGUGUCAAAUGCUGAUUGGCCAAACUCGACCAGAAACCAUAACAAAGUAGUUUAAUAAAACAGGAAUCACUUCCCGACUAAUUCAGUUUCUAGCUGAAAUCCGAACCGGCUAACUCGCAACAAGCAUCCUUGAGACAUCUCUUUUACAGUCAAACCCUGUCUGCACGCUGCUAGCUGACACAGCCAGACCGCUCCCUAAGAGCCACACCCACUUUGGACGCAGACAAGCGUUCCAGCUACCGUUGUGACCUGGAGACAUCUCAAGACCGGACGGGUCGUAUCGGAGUUAAUCUACGAAAUCCCGGUGCCGUGAGGUCCACCCGACUUCUGACAGUCUGGAUCUGCUGGAGGUCUCCGCCAGGGUUUGUAGACACAGCAGAUCGCGUCUGAUGCUGUUUUAUUAAUAAUCAACUCUAUUCUUUUACACCCAGAUUUCACUAUUUGUUUCAGAUAGAAAGGUUCUGAUAAACAUCUUGCUUACAUCACACCACCUACACAUCACACUCCAUCACCGCAUAUCCGCUCCAUCACAUCUCAUUACUCAGAUCUAGUCAUGUAUAAUCAUUAGUUUAGAAAAGAAUAAAAGUCCUUUUUAACUAAAUACUGACUCUGUCUGAAUCAAUACGAAGUGUGUUUAUGGUCCCUGAACAAGUAAAAGUAACUAGAAUACUCUGAUUAAAUGUUCAAAGAUCAAUCAGGUUGAGGUUUCAUAUAAAUAUGGAAUCAUCACAUCUUAUUGGUCAUAAUUCAUUUGCAGUCGUCGCGUUAUAAAGUGUGACCGCUACACAUUUUUAUAACUAUAUCCUGACUCUGUCUGAAUUAAUAUGAAGUGUGUGUUCCCUGAAGAGUCAAAGAACCUAAAGGUAAUAAGUCGAAUCUUCACCGACCAAUCAGGUUAAUGAUUCAUAUUUAUAUGGAAUAUCACAUCUUAUUGAUCGUUUCACUUAACAAAUAUGUAGCCACUGGUUAGGGUUACUCUGCUGUCAGCGGGCUGCAGAGUAGCAGCGACAGACAGAUCAGGUGUUUCACUGAGAUCGGCCACAGAUUCCUCUGCUGGUCAACAACCUGGGAAUUCAAAUAAAAGACUCAACAAUCCUGCAAAAAUACGACCGUUAGUCCCGGUUUCAUCUGAUGCUGAUGCCCGACCCUAGUGUGUGUGUGUGUGUGUGUGUGUGUGUGUGUGUGUGUGUGUGUGUGUGUGUGUGUUUGCAUGGGAUGGGAGGUGUUGUUCUGUGGGGGAGGGGUGGUAAAUGUUGUACCAAUCAGCACUUUUCAUAAAUAAAUGAGAUUUUAUUUGAUUUACAGUCAGGUGAGAACCAUCUGGAGUCAACAACAGGGAUUGUGUUUGUGGGGUCAGGAAAAGGUGCCGUUGUUUACACGGAGGGGGAGGAGCUUAAACCCUGAAACAGAAGCAGCCACUAGCGGGCGCUCACUUUAGUUCUGAUCUCCAGCUUGUGUCCUUGUAUCAGCUCUGAACCCAGGAACCAGUCAGCAUCCGGUCCUGGUUCUGCCUCUGGUCUUUCAGACAGAACCCAACAGAACCAUCACCAGGUCUUGGACCCCAACUUGGUCCCAUCUUUGGUUUCAGCUGCUCUGAUUCUGAUUUCAGGCCGCAACGGAAGCUGCAGCUGAUGCUGUGUGUGUGUGUGUGUGUGUGUGUGUGUGUGUGUGUGUGUGUGUGG